AGCCUUCUCUAUCCGUGCUGAGAUUUCGUCACAAAGAGACCACAAGGGUUGAUGAGAAUCCCAAGAUGAGUGAAGCG
rnacentral:pre_miRNA from 1 species